GGCCCGUUCGUUCAGCGGUUAGGACACCGGCCUCUCACGCCGGCAACAGGGGUUCGAUUCCCCUACGGGCUA
rnacentral:tRNA from 1 species